GAUGAAUAACGUAGCGAAAUGCGAUAAGUAGUGUGAAUUGCAGAAUUCAGUGAAUCAUCGAAUCUUUGAACGCACAUUGCGCCCCUUGGUAUUCCAUGGGGCAUGCCUGUUCGAGCGUCAUUUGUACCUUCAAGCUUUGCUUGGUGUUGGGUGUUUGUCUCGCCUUUGCGUGUAGACUCGCCUUAAAAUAAUUGGCAGCCGGCGUAUUGAUUUCGGAGCGCAGUACAUCUCGCGCUUUGCACUCAUAACGACAGCGUCCAAAAGUACAUUUUACACUCUUGACCUCGGAUCAGGUAGGGAUACCCGCUGAACUUAAGCAUAUCAAUAAGCGGAGGA
rnacentral:misc_RNA from 1 species